rnacentral:rRNA from 1 species
UACAGAGGGUGCAAGCGUUGUUCGGAAUUAUUGGGCGUAAAGCGCGUGUAGGCGGCUUGGCAAGUCGGGUGUGAAAUCCCUCAGCUCAACUGAGGAAGUGCGCCCGAAACUGCUUUGCUUGAGUGUCGGAGAGGAUGGCGGAAUUCCCCAAGUAGAGGUGAAAUUCGUAGAUAUGGGGAGGAACACCGGUGGCGAAGGCGGCCAUCUGGACGACAACUGACGCUGAGACGCGAAAGCGUGGGGAGCAAACAGG